AUUGAACGCUAGCGGCAUGCUUUACACAUGCAAGUCGAACGAGUGGCGGACGGGUGAGUAAGAUAUCGGAACGUGCCUAGUAGCGCGGGAUAACUACUCGAAAGAGUGGCUAAUACCGCAUACGAUUGGAACUGCCGAUAUCGGAUUAGCUAGUUGGUGGGGUAACGGCUCACAAAGGCAACGAUCCCUAGCUGGUUUGAGAGGACGAACAGCCACACUGGGACUGAGACACGGCCCAGACUCCUACGGGAGGCAGCAGUGGGGAAUUUUGGACAAUGGGCGAAAGCCUGAUCCAGCCAUGCCGCGUGUAUGAGAAGGCCUUCGGGUUGUAAAGUACUUUUAGCAGAGAAGCGGUAUCUGCAGAAUAAGCACCGGCUAACUACGUGCCAGCAGCCGCGGUAAUAC
rnacentral:rRNA from 1 species